GCCAGCAGCCAUAUCACCCUGCAGCCCAAGAUUGGUGGCCCACUAAAGCCAAGCAGGGUUGAGCCUGGUCAGUACCUGGACGGGAGACCUCCUGGGAAAACUAGGUUGCUGUUGGAA
ensembl:rRNA 5S_rRNA 5S ribosomal RNA